UGGGGAAUUUUGGACAAUGGGCGAAAGCCUGAUCCAGCAAUGCCGCGUGUGUGAAGAAGGCCUUCGGGUUGUAAAGCACUUUUGUCCGGAAAGAAAACGCCGUGUUAAUACCCGUGGCGGAUGACGGUACCGGAAGAAUAAGCACCGGCUAACUACGUGCCAGCAGCCGCGGUAAUACGUAGGGUGCAAGCGUUAAUCGGAAUUACUGGGCGUAAAGCGUGCGCAGGCGGUCCGCUAAGACAGAUGUGAAAUCCCCGGGCUUAACCUGGGAACUGCAUUUGUGACUGGCGGGCUAGAGUAUGGCAGAGGGGGGUAGAAUUCCACGUGUAGCAGUGAAAUGCGUAGAGAUGUGGAGGAAUACCGAUGGCGAAGGCAGCCCCCUGGGCCAAUACUGACGCUCAUGCACGAAAGCGUGGGGAGCAAACAGG
rnacentral:rRNA from 1 species